GGGGGAACCCUUCCUAGACGACCUUGGUCCAGAUGGCUUUUAACCAAUUGGUCGUAGGUUCGAAUCCUACACGACCCACCA
rnacentral:tRNA from 1 species